UGCAUUGAGUGCUGACCGAGCCGCUUAGGGGCUAAGAUAAUGUGAGCGGACCGCGGCAAUGGGCUUAGGGGCU
rnacentral:pre_miRNA from 1 species